GGAGAAUUUGUGGAUAUUUCUGAGUCUAAACAUUACUUUAAGAUUUUUAUUGACACUUCUGGUUUCUCUUGUCAUAGCACAAUGAAGUUUCUACAAGUGGAAUUGUUAAGGAUGACCUAAGAUUUACAAUGACUCAAGGAAGGUUUUCCAAUUUGGUGUUACUCUUAAUAGAAUGCAAACUAUAGGAAAGUCUGGAUCACAACAGUGUAGUUAAGUGAUCUCACUGAAAUUAAGAGAAUGAAGUUAUGGAAUAGAUCUAUAAUAAUUUAUCAAUUGUGUACAUAUCUUUAUUUUAUUACUUAUUCACAUGUUUCCAUCCCAUAAACAUAAUGCCAAAAUAGGUGCAUUACUAAUGAAAUCCAGCAGUCUUUGAUAUUUUGAUGAAAGUUAAGUAAUAAACUCAUUGAUUUCCACAUGCUAUUUUUUUGGAAGCAUCAGAGAUGGUAAGUAGGUGAAACCAAGAAACUGGUUCUAGACCAUGGAUGAACUAGAAAGCUGUGUUAGGAAGCACCCUAAGACAGUGACUUCACUCAUGAGUAAAACACUUCAAUUAGCAUCGUUUUCGAUAAAUUUGUAACUUCUAAUUCUUUAGUCAUAUGAUAUCUGGUGCUUAUACAUGGGCCUUCUUCGUAAUUGUUAGACUUGCUAUAUUACUAAAUAUCUGGAAAUGUCUUUUUGUUGCCUUCACAUAUCAUCUACUUGGCUAUUGAGUUCUUUGCUUUUCUAUUUUGGGAGGAGAUAUGAUGCGAAUCUGAAAAUUUCUUAUUUCACUCAAUUUAUGGAACAAUUACUUAUCAC
rnacentral:lncRNA from 1 species